rnacentral:miRNA from 1 species
GAGUGGGGAGGAGAGAGGGACAGAGAGCCUGCUUCUUUAAAGGAGCAAAGUGGGAGAGUAGAGGAGCCGCUUACACGAGUGUAAGCGGCUCCUGUCCGGUUGGUUCCUUUACAGCAAGCAGGCUCUCUGUCCCUCUCUCCUCCCCACUC